rnacentral:rRNA from 1 species
UACAGAGGGUGCGAGCGUUAAUCGGAAUUACUGGGCGUAAAGCGCGCGUAGGCGGCUUGUUAAGUCAAAUGUGAAAUCCCCGAGCUUAACUUGGGCAUUGCAUUCGAUACUGGCAAGCUAGAGUAUGGGAGAGGAAGGUAGAAUUCCAGGUGUAGCGGUGAAAUGCGUAGAGAUCUGGAGGAAUACCGAUGGCGAAGGCAGCCUUCUGGCCUAAUACUGACGCUGAGGUGCGAAAGCAUGGGGAGCGAACGGG